UACGGAGGGUGCAAGCGUUGUCCGGAAUCACUGGGCGUAAAGGGCGCGUAGGCGGCUCGGUAAGUAGGGGGUGAAAUCCUGCGGCUUAACCGCAGGGCUGCCUUCUAAACUGUCGAGCUCGAGCACGGUAGAGGCAGAUGGAAUUCCCGGUGUAGCGGUGGAAUGUGUAGAGAUCGGGAAGAACACCAGUGGCGAAGGCGGCUCACUGGCCCGGUACUGACGCUGAGGUGCGAAAGCGUGGGGAGCAAACAGG
rnacentral:rRNA from 1 species